rnacentral:rRNA from 1 species
GGAUGCGAUCAUACCAGCACUAAUGCACCGGAUCCCAUCAGAACUCCGAAGUUAAGCGUGCUUGGGCGAGAGUAGUACUACUAGGAUGGGUGACCCCUGGGAAGUCCUCGUGUUGCAUCCC